AUUGAACGCUGGCGGCAGGCUUAACACAUGCAAGUCGAGCGAGCGGCGGACGGGUGAGUAAUGUCUGGGAAACUGCCUGAUGGAGGGGGCUAACUACUGGAAACGGUAGCUAAUACCGCAUACCAUCAGAUGUGCCCAGAUGGGAUUAGCUAGUUGGUGGGGUAAGGGCUCACCUAGGCGACGAUCCCUAGCUGGUCUGAGAGGAUGACCAGCCACACUGGAACUGAGACACGGUCCAGACUCCUACGUGAGGCAGCAGUGGGGAAUAGUGCGCAAUGGGCGCAAGCCUGAUGCAGCCAUGCCGCGUGAGUGAAGAAGGCCUUCGGGUUGUAAAGCACUGUCAGCGAGGAGGCGUUACUCACAGAAGAAGCACCGGCUAACUCCGUGCCAGCCGCCGCGGUAAUAC
rnacentral:rRNA from 1 species